rnacentral:rRNA from 1 species
AGGGAAUAUUGGACAAUGGGCGAAAGCCUGAUCCAGCCAUGCCGCGUGAUAGAUGAAGGCCCUCUGGGUUGUAAAUAUCUUUUAUCUGGGAAGAAACUCCUCUAUUCUUAGAGGCCUGACGGUACCAGAGGAAUAAGCACCGGCUAACUCCGUGCCAGCAGCCGCGGUAAUACGGAGGGUGCAAGCGUUAUCCGGAUUCACUGGGUUUAAAGGGUGCGUAGGCGGGUUGAUAAGUCAGUGGUGAAAGCUCCGGGCUUAACUUGGAAACUGCCAUUGAUACUGUCCAUCUUGAAUGUCGUAGAGGUAAGCGGAAUGUUGCAUGUAGCGGUGAAAUGCUUAGAUAUGUUACAGAACACCAAUUGCGAAGGCAGCUUACUAUGCGAUAAUUGACGCUGAGGCACGAAAGCGUGGGGAGCAAAC